GACAGAGGUUGCAAGCGUUGUUCGGAAUCACUGGGCGUAAAGGGCGUGUAGGCGGUGAAGUAUGUCUGAUGUGAAAGCCCCCGGCUUAACUGGGGAAGUGCAUCGGAAACUGCUUCGCUGGAGUGCGAGAGAGGAUGGCGGAAUUCCCAGAGUAGAGGUGAAAUUCGUAGAUACUGGGAGGAACACCUGAGGCGAAGGCGGCCAUCUGGCUCGCAACUGACGCUGAGACGCGAAAGCAUGGGUAGCAAAC
rnacentral:rRNA from 1 species